UGCCGAAGUUUUCCUCGGCAGUUAACUGCAGCCGGUUUCAUAACUCGGCAAUUAACUGCCGAGGAGCAU
rnacentral:pre_miRNA from 1 species